GAUGGACGCUGGCGGCGUGCUUAACACAUGCAAGUCGAACGAUGAAGCCCAGCUUGCUGGGUGGAUUAGUGGCGAACGGGUGAGUAACACGUGAGUAACCUGCCCUUGACUCUGGGAUAAGCCUGGGAAACUGGGUCUAAUACUGGAUAUGACUUCUCAUCGCAUGGUGGGGGGUGGAAAGAUUUAUUGGUCUUGGAUGGACUCGCGGCCUAUCAGCUUGUUGGUGAGGUAAUGGCUCACCAAGGCGACGACGGGUAGCCGGCCUGAGAGGGUGACCGGCCACACUGGGACUGAGAAACGGCCCAGACUCCUACGGGAGGCAGCAGUGGGGAAUAUUGCACAAUGGGCGCAAGCCUGAUGCAGCGACGCCGCGUGAGGGAUGACGGCCUUCGGGUUGUAAACCUCUUUCAGUAGGGAAGAAGCGAGAGUGACGGUACCUGCAGAAGAAGCGCCGGCUAACUACGUG
rnacentral:rRNA from 1 species